AGAUUAAGUUAUUAAGGGCGCACGGUGGAUGCCUUGGCACUAGAAGCCGAUGAAGGACGUUACUAACGACGAUAUGCUUUGGGGAGCUGUAAGUAAGCUGUGAUCCAGAGAUUUCCGAAUGGGGGAACCCAGCACGAGUUAUGUCGUGUUAUCCGCAUGUGAAUACAUAGCAUGUGAGAAGGUAGACCCGGAGAACUGAAACAUCUUAGUACCCGGAGGAAGAGAAAGAAAAAUCGAUUCCCUGAGUAGCGGCGAGCGAAACGGGAAGAGCCCAAACCAACAAGCUUGCUUGUUGGGGUUGUAGGACACUCUGUACGGAGUUACAAAGGAAUAYGUUAGACGAAUAACCUGGAAAGGUUAAUCAUAGAAGGUAAUAAUCCUGUAGUCGAAAACGUAUACCCUCCUGAGUGGAUCCUGAGUACGGCGGAGCACGUGAAAUUCCGUCGGAAUCUGGGAGGACCAUCUCCCAAGGCUAAAUACUCUCUAGUGACCGAUAGUGAACCAGUACCGUGAGGGAAAGGUGAAAAGUACCCCGGAAGGGGAGUGAAAGAGAACUUGAAACCGUGUGCUUACAAGUAGUCAGAGCCCGUUAAUGGGUGAUGGCGUGCCUUUUGUAGAAUGAACCGGCGAGUUACGAUCUGAUGCAAGGUUAAGCAGAAAAUGUGGAGCCGUAGCGAAAGCGAGUCUGAAUAGGGCGAAUGAGUAUUUGGUCGUAGACCCGAAACCAGGUGAUCUACCCUUGGUCAGGUUGAAGUUCAGGUAACACUGAAUGGAGGACCGAACCGACUUACGUUGAAAAGUGAGCGGAUGAACUGAGGGUAGCGGAGAAAUUCCAAUCGAACUUGGAGAUAGCUGGUUCUCUCCGAAAUAGCUUUAGGGCUAGCCUCAAGUGAUGAUUAUUGGAGGUAGAGCACUGUUUGGACGAGGGGCCCCUCUCGGGUUACCGAAUUCAGACAAACUCCGAAUGCCAAAUAAUUUAACUUGGGAGUCAGAACAUGGGUGAUAAGGUCCGUGUUCGAAAGGGAAACAGCCCAGACCACCAGCUAAGGUCCCAAAAUAUAUGUUAAGUGGAAAAGGAUGUGGCGUUGCCCAGACAACUAGGAUGUUGGCUUAGAAGCAGCCAUCAUUUAAAGAGUGCGUAAUAGCUCACUAGUCGAGUGACACUGCGCCGAAAAUGUACCGGGGCUAAACAUAUUACCGAAGCUGUGGAUUGUCCUUUAGGACAAUGGUAGGAGAGCGUUCUAAGGGCGUUGAAGCAUGAUCGCAAGGACAUGUGGAGCGCUUAGAAGUGAGAAUGCCGGUGUGAGUAGCGAAAGACGGGUGAGAAUCCCGUCCACCGAUUGACUAAGGUUUCCAGAGGAAGGCUCGUCCGCUCUGGGUUAGUCGGGUCCUAAGCUGAGGCCGACAGGCGUAGGCGAUGGAUAACAGGUUGAUAUUCCUGUACCACCAUGAUUCGUUUUAAGCGAUGGGGGGACGCAGUAGGAUAGGCGAAGCGUGCUGUUGGAGUGCACGUCUAAGCAGUGAGACUGAGUGUUAGGCAAAUCCGGCACUCAUYAAGGUCAAGCUGUGAUGGGGAGAAGAAACAUGUUUUCUUCGAGUCGUUGAUUUCACACUGCCAAGAAAAGCCUCUAGCUAGAAGAUUGGUGCCCGUACCGCAAACCGACACAGGUAGUCAAGAUGAGAAUUCUAAGGUGAGCGAGCGAACUCUCGUUAAGGAACUCGGCAAAAUGACCCCGUAACUUCGGGAGAAGGGGUGCUCUUUGAGGUUCACGCUUCGAAGAGCCGCAGUGAAUAGGCCCAAGCGACUGUUUAUCAAAAACACAGGUCUCUGCUAAACCGUAAGGUGACGUAUAGGGGCUGACGCCUGCCCGGUGCUGGAAGGUUAAGAGGAGUGGUUAGCAUUAGCGAAGCUACGAAUCGAAGCCCCAGUAAACGGCGGCCGUAACUAUAACGGUCCUAAGGUAGCGAAAUUCCUUGUCGGGUAAGUUCCGACCCGCACGAAAGGCGUAACGAUUUGGGCACUGUCUCAACGAGAGACUCGGUGAAAUCAUAGUACCGGUGAAGAUGCCGGUUACCCGCGACAGGACGGAAAGACCCCGUGGAGCUUUACUGUAGCCUGAUAUUGAAAUUCGGUACAGUUUGUACAGGAUAGGUAGGAGCCUUAGAAGCGUGAGCGCUAGCUUACGUGGAGGCAUUGGUGGGAUACUACCCUAAUUGUAUUGGAUUUCUAACCCGCAACUCUUAUCGAGUUGGGAGACAGUGUCAGGCGGGCAGUUUGACUGGGGCGGUCGCCUCCUAAAGAGUAACGGAGGCGCUCAAAGGUUCCCUCAGAAUGGUUGGAAAUCAUUCAUAGAGUGUAAAGGCAUAAGGGWGCUUGACUGCGAGACCUACAAGUCGAGCAGGGUCGAAAGACGGACUUAGUGAUCCGGUGGUUCCGCAUGGAAGGGCCAUCGCUCAACGGAUAAAAGCUACCCCGGGGAUAACAGGCUUAUCUCCCCCAAGAGUUCACAUCGACGGGGAGGUUUGGCACCUCGAUGUCGGCUCAUCGCAUCCUGGGGCUGUAGUCGGUCCCAAGGGUUGGGCUGUUCGCCCAUUAAAGCGGUACGCGAGCUGGGUUCAGAACGUCGUGAGACAGUUCGGUCCCUAUCCGUCGUGGGCGUAGGAAAUUUGAGAGGAGCUGUCCUUAGUACGAGAGGACCGGGAUGGACAUACCUCUGGUGUACCAGUUGUCGUGCCAACGGCAUAGCUGGGUAGCUAUGUAUGGACGGGAUAAGUGCUGAAAGCAUCUAAGCAUGAAGCCCCCCUCAAGAUGAGAUUUCCCAACUUCGGUUAUAAGAUCCCUCAAAGAUGAUGAGGUUAAUAGGUUCGAUAGCUGGGUAGCUAUGUAUGGACGGGAUAAGUGCUGAAAGCAUCUAAGCAUGAAGCCCCCCUCAAGAUGAGAUUUCCCAACUUCGGUUAUAAGAUCCCUCAAAGAUGAUGAGGUUAAUAGGUUCGAGGUGGAAGCGUAGCGAUACGUGGAGCUGACGAAUACUAAUCGAUCGAAGACUUAAUCAAUUU
rnacentral:rRNA from 1 species